UACGAGGGGUGCAAGCGUUGCUCGGAAUUAUUGGGCGUAAAGGGUAGGUAGGUGGUCUCAUUUGUCUGGGGUGAAAGCCUUGAGCUUAACUCAAGAAGUGCCCUAGAAACGGUGAGACUGGAGUCUUGGAGAGGGUCGUGGAAUUCCCGGUGUAGCGGUGAAAUGCGUAGAGAUCGGGAGGAACACCAGCGGCGAAAGCGGCGACCUGGACAAGUACUGACACUCAACUACGAAAGCGUGGGGAGCAAACAGG
rnacentral:rRNA from 1 species